rnacentral:rRNA from 1 species
GCAUACAAACAGUGGGAGCGCCCUAGUGGUGUGACUGCGUACCUUUUGUAUAAUGGGUCAACGACUUACAUUCAGUAGCGAGCUUAACCGGAUAGGGGAGGCGUAGGGAAACCGAGUCUUAAUAGGGCGAUGAGUUGCUGGGUGUAGACCCGAAACCGAGUGAUCUAUCCAUGGUCAGGUUGAAGGUGCCGUAACAGGUACUGGAGGACCGAACCCACGCAUGUUGCAAAAUGCGGGGAUGAGCUGUGGGUAGGGGUGAAAGGCUAAACAAACUCGGAGAUAGCUGGUUCUCCCCGAAAACUAUUUAGGUAGUGCCUCGAGCAAGACACUGAUGGGGGUAAAGCACUGUUAUGGCUAGGGGGUUAUUGCAACUUACCAACCCAUGG